CUCCGGUUGAUCCCGCCGGACCCGACUGCUAUCAGAGUGGGACUAAGCCAUGCGAGUCGACGUAGCAAUGCGUGGCGAACGGCUCAGUAACACGUAGUCAACAUGCCCAGGGGACGUGGAUAACCUCGGGAAACUGAGAAUAAACCACGAUAGGUCACGAUUUCUGGAAUGGAUCAUGGCCUAAAUCUACAUGGCCCCUGGAUUGGACUGCGGCCGAUCAGGCUGUUGGUGAGGUAAUGGCCCACCAAACCUGUAACCGGUACGGGCUCUGAGAGGAGGAGCCCGGAGAUGGGCACUGAGACAAGGGCCCAGGCCCUAUGGGGCGCAGCAGGCGCGAAACCUCUGCAAUAGGCGAAAGCCUGACAGGGUUACUCUGAGUGACUUUCGCUAAGAAAGUCUUUUGGCACCUCUAAAAAGGGUGCAGAAUAAGGGGUGGGCAAGUCUGGUGUCAGCCGCCGCGGUAAUACCAGCACCCCGAGUGGUCGGGACGAUUAUUGGGCCUAAAGCAUCCGUAGCCGGUUCUACAAGUCUUCCGUUAAAUCCACCUGCUUAACAGAUGGGCUGCGGAAGAUACUAUAGAGCUAGGAGGCGGGAGAGGCAAGCGGUACUCGAUGGGUAGGGGUAAAAUCCGUUGAUCCAUUGAAGACCACCAGUGGCGAAGGCGGCUUGCCAGAACGCGCUCGACGGUGAGGGAUGAAAGCUGGGGGAGCAAACCGGAUUAGAUACCCGGGUAGUCCCAGCUGUAAACGAUGCAGACUCGGUGAUGAGUUGGCUUAUUGCUAACUCAGUGCCGCAGGGAAGCCGUUAAGUUUGCCGCCUGGGGAGUACGGUCGCAAGACUGAAACUUAAAGGGAUUGGCGGGGGAGCA
rnacentral:rRNA from 1 species